GUCAUCUACACUGAUGAGGAGGCGUAUUGGCGCCUCCGCGAGGCCUAGAAAUGGGUCUUGAAGGGCGACGCGAACACGGCCUACUUCCAGGCCAUCGCGAACGGCCGACAUAGACGCAACACCAUCCCCCUCCUCUGGGAUGGUGCCUCCCUAUUGCAGGAUCCCCGCGACAUUCGUAGCCAUGUUGACGGUUUCUAUAGGUCCAUGUUCUCUGCCGCUCCUAGGAGCGGCCUCUCCCUGGCGACUGAUUGCUGGACCGGUGCCCAACUGGUUUCUGAUGAGGAAAACGCGGCCCUCACGGCCCCGUUCUCCGAGGGCGAGGUCUGGACCGCGAUUCGAGGCAUGAAUCCCACCUCCGCUCUAGGCCCUGACGGCCUUCCGGUUAAAUUCUUCCAGGCCUUCUGGAACGUGAUUAAACCUGAGGUCAUGGCCAUCUUCGAUGAGUUCUAUGUUGGAUCCAUCGACCUCGGGCGCCUCAACUAUGGGAUUAUCUCGCUCAUCCCGAAGGUCCCGGGUGCCUCCGACAGCUGCCAGUUUCGUCCGAUCACGGUC
rnacentral:rRNA from 1 species